UACGGUUCUUAAAAUCUAUACGCGUAAUUAUGUUCCAAACAAACAAAAAAGUUCCCAACCGGAUUAAAAAACAAAACAACUGUAAACUAGUUGUUUUCGAGAGGUAAAUAUUUUAAUGCCUUGUUGCCUGUAAGCGAACUGAGUGCCCGAAUUCUUUGACCAAAGAAAUAAAAUGUGUAAAUAAUAAAAGGAAUACUAAUACUAAUGAAAGCCAUAGUUGCAACAGCCCAUUUGACGCUCAUGUUAUUGAACAUGAUUUGACUAACAUGGGCGAAAACAGUAGCCCCAAUAAAGGAAGGAAGAGUAAAAGCGGCAACGGCUGAGCCAGAAAGCAAAGGGUAAGAGUCAGUCAAGUAAUUCAGAAUGCACAUCCAGUUAUGACCAUUCGCAACUGUUACCAUACUAUUACCAACAAUCGGAGACAUCCAGGGGAAAGGUGGAUGACAAGUGAAUGCAAACAAGAACAUUCCUGCAGGGAACAAUAACGUAAUAAACAAAGCACUGGUAAAUCUAGCUUCGGGACGAGCAACACCAUUGUUUUUUGCUUUAUCUCUGCGGAAAAUCCAAUCUUGAAUUGGUUGAUACAAGAACAGGAGAGUACUAGCAACAAACCCAGAUAAAUACGUACAACUAGCACCCAUUUCCGACAUUUUAUAGGUGUCGUAAAACACGGGCCAAAUAGCAGUCAAGAAAAAAUAGGAAAUACCAUAAGCGUAAAAGUUGUAUAAACCCAUUGAAAGAAUAAUGGGUUCGGUAAGCAUCAUUCGAAAUCCCAUGGUAGUGACGAAUUUACAUUUCUUCAAAACUUCCUUCAAAUUGUUUUUAGGAAUUCCUUCUACAAUUCGGCCCUUGGCAUUUUCAUAUCUUGUAAUAACUUUAAUGGGUAAGGUUUCAGGAAUAAUUAGAAUCACGAUAAGGAAAAAGCCACCAACGAUAAUGUUAAUAUAAUAAAGCCAACGCCAGCCAUACUUGGCAUUAAUGUCUACUCCUGUAGCCAUUGGCGCACCAAUUGCACCUCCUGCACAAGCCCAAACAAACAAAGACAUUGGAACACCAGCUGUGUCUUCCGGGAAAAGAUCUGGAAUACCACCUGCAACGUUUGUCAAAGCAGUACUACCAGCAACACCGAUGAUGAAAUGGGAAAUAAUCAUUUGAACGAUGUUACGGGGUAGAGCACACGAAAUAUUAAAGACUGUGUAAACGAAAAUGGAACAAAAGUAAACGGGCUUCCUGCCACCAAUGUCAGACAGCGGGCCCAAAAACAUAGGACCCAAUCCACUACCCAAGAUGUUCAUACUUAAGCACAAUGUAGCUACUUGAGCAGACACAUUAAAUUGGGCCAUAACACUGUACUCAAUACUGCCAAACCCAUUGCUUGUCCAAAUAACAUAGAUCUGCAUUAAACAAAACAUAAAUACAAUACUCCAACGUUUGGCCCAAUGCCAGUUUUGAGGGUGAGCCGGGUGAUCAGAAGAAAUUAAAUUUGAUAUGUCGAUAACCUCGGGCGAUUCCUCUCUCUUUUUUUCAUCAUAUUCAGAAUUGGUUUCAUGAAUUCCAUCUGAUUGAGAGGAGGCAGUGCCUAACUCCAAAUCCUCUGCAACAUUUUCAUGUUGAUCCUUAGAGGCCGUUUCAGACGGAGAAAAUAAACUCGCAAUUUUACUGGCCAUGAUUGUUUUGCCUCACAAGAAAACUAGUACUUUAUUCCUUAUUUACCCUUAUGAAGCUAAGCUCAAGGGGUAUAGAAAAAUCAACUAAAAAUAAAGGAAAAAUAGCUUGUUAAGGUUGAUAAUGAAAAUUCCAUUGGUCCCUGCGUUCAAUAUAUGUAUUCAAACAUUUUGUUCUUCACGCACAUUACCGCCGGAACAAGAUUCCGGUUGUUCACUAACUGGCAAUAUCAUAUUUGAAAGCGCUAUUCUUACAGACAAACGCAAUUAAUGAGAAACAUCAGAGUUUGAAAAGCAUCGUUCGGCAAGCGAAUACCGUCGGUAGUCUGUAGCGAAAGUGUUAAGAAUUGUGAAAUUUUUAGUAUGAUCAUCGAAAGAAAGGAAUUCAUUUUUAGAAGAAUUCUAUCGAUAAGUUUAGAAGAUUAAAAAUGCAUGCUAUUGAACAUUAAGGGAAAUGUAGUAAUGGGUGCUUGAGAUUGCAAAUUUUUGGCAGAUAAAGUGAGAGAACCUCUUAACAAAAAAGUGUCCCAACUAAGCAUCUCUUGUAUCCUCUUAAUUUUGGUUUUAAUUGUUAAACUGAAAAUUGCUAGGAAAAGAGGUUUGAGUCUGAUGGAUCCAUUUAAUCCCCGAUGAACCUACUUACUACUAAAAAAAGAAAAUAAUCAUGGAACGCUGAACCGUUUUAACCAAAAUGUCAACAAAAGGAGUUUCAUUUGAUUCGGGACCUUCCUUUAAAUUAUCAGUUCAUCGGGUACAAUUUGAAGUUUGAUCGCCCUACCAAGUUGGCAAAUACCCAGAAAUAAAGAUUGUUAAGUAUUUUCUUCUUAUUCAGUAAGAUGAUAAGUAUUCUAAAAAGGCACAAGUUUUAUAAACGAUGUUACAUCAAUAACAAUUCAAUCGUCUAUUAUUUGUUUGUAUUUUUACAAUGUUGUUGAUGUUGGUAUUCGGCACGCUGUAAUGUUUAGAUGCUAGCGCGCACAGACGCACGCAGUUUCCCGAGAUUGUUUAAUGAACCAUUUUAUCAGAUGGUGUUAGUACGUUAGUGAAUUAGGUUACGCUUCACUAUUUUUUUAUCGUGG
rnacentral:lncRNA from 1 species